GUCGAACGGGGUCGGAACUUCGGUUCCGGCUUACGUGGCGCACGGGUGAGUAACACGUGGGAAUCUGCCCAUCUAUGGGGAAUAACUGCGGGAAACUGCAGCUAAUACCGCAUACGCCCUUCGGGGGAAAGGCUUCGGCCGUAGAUGGAUGAGCCCGCGUCCGAUUAGCUAGUUGGUGGGGUAAAAGCCUACCAAGGCGACGAUCGGUAGCUGGUCUGAGAGGAUGAUCAGCCACACUGGGACUGAGACACGGCCCAGACUCCUACGGGAGGCAGCAGUGGGGAAUAUUGGACAAUGGGCGAAAGCCUGAUCCAGCAAUGCCGCGUGAGUGAUGAAGGUCUUCGGAUUGUAAAGCUCUUUCGACGGGGAAGAUAAUGACGGUACCCGUAGAAGAAGCCCCGGCUAACUUCGUGCCAGCAGCCGCGGUAAUACGAAGGGGGCUAGCGUUGUUCGGAUUUACUGGGCGUAAAGCGUGCGUAGGCGGCUUGUCAAGUCAGAAGUGAAAGCCCGGGGCUCAACUCCGGAACUGCUUUUGAGACUGGCAGGCUUGAGUUCGGGAGAGGGUAGUGGAAUUCCCAGUGUAGAGGUGAAAUUCGUAGAUAUUGGGAAGAACACCG
rnacentral:rRNA from 1 species